GUAGGUGGCAAGCGUUGUCCGGAAUUAUUGGGCGUAAAGGGCUCGCAGGCGGUUUCUUAAGUCUGAUGUGAAAGCCCCCGGCUCAACCGGGGAGGGUCAUUGGAAACUGGGGAACUUGAGUGCAGAAGAGGAGAGUGGAAUUCCACGUGUAGCGGUGAAAUGCGUAGAGAUGUGGAGGAACACCAGUGGCGAAGGCGACUCUCUGGUCUGUAACUGACGCUGAGGAGCGAAAGCGUGGGGAGCGAACAGGGAUUAGAUACCCUGGUAGUCCACGCCGUAAACGAUGAGUGCUAAGUGUUAGGGGUUUCCCGCCCCUUAGUGCUGCAGCUAACGCAUUAAGCACUCCGCCUGGGGAGUACGGUCGCAAGACUA
rnacentral:rRNA from 1 species